CUUUUGUCUCAACUUCCAUGGCCCUUAUGGGAGUUGAGCACAUUGCACCAGAUAUAAUUCUCAAAGCCUUGUUCUGUAAUAAAUCAAGUUUAUUUACAUGUGGACUAUUUAAAUAAGCUAAGGAGCUAUAAUCAAAAUGACUUCUGACAAUCGAUUUGUAUAUUAAAGAUAGUAUUUUGGGGUCUGCACCCCAUGAUACUCCAGCAAGACAUUUCAUAAUAUUAAGACCUCUUAAAGCAUUUUUGGAAAUAUGUUUAAUAUGUGUUUCAAAAUUUAAUUUCUGAUCUAUUACUAUUCCUAAAAAUUUCUUAUUGGUUACCUUGUUUAUAAUUUCACCAUUAUAAAUAACAUUAUAGAUUGGUGUAUCCUUGCUGAAUAUCAUAACAUUGCUCUUGGAUGGGUUAAUUUUUAAAUGUAAAAUGUCAUUAUAAUAAUAAAACAAUUGGGAUAAAGCUACAUUAAUACUGUCUGUUGCUACUUGUAAAUUAUAGUUACUACUGUACAAAACGAUGUCAUCAGCAAAUUGUAAAAUAUUUACAUUAUUGUUUACAUUGUCUAAGAAGUUGCAAAUUUCACUAGUAUAAAUAUUAUACAAUAAAGGGGAUAAGGUAGCACCUUGCAUUGUGCCUCUCGAGGCAGAUUUUGGACCAUAUAGUAUAUUAUUGUGUUUUACAUACACUGUCCUUUCAUUUAAGAAGUUAUAUAUCCAUUUACAGAGUUGUCCCGGUAUUGCCAGCCCUGACAUAACUUUCACAAGUAUACCAGGAUCUAUACUGUCAAAGGCACCUUGAACAUCAAGGAAUAUACAAACAGUAUGUAAAUUAUUUUCCUUCCCAUGUUUCAGAUCAGAUAUUAAAGAGAUGAAACUAUCAGCACAGCUUCGCCCUCGUCUAAAGCCAUAUUGGACAUUGGGAAUGAUGUGAUUAGCUUCAACAUACCAGUCAAGAUGGACUUUUAACAUUGAUUCAAAAAUUUUGCCAAGACAUGAAGAUAAAGAUAUUGGUCUAUAUGAGCUAGCAAAUUCUGGUGCUUUGUCUGGUUUAAGUAUUGGAAUAACACACUGUGUUUUCCAUGCCUGUGGAAUAUAGUUGUUAAGCCAAAGAAGAUUGAGAAUGUCUAGAAAUAUUUUUUGAGCCGAUUCAUCCAAAUUUUUAAUCAAUAGAUAAGGGUAGUCAUCCAUACCAGGUGUUGUAUUACGUCUAGAUUGUAAACUUAUUGCAAAUUCUGACCAAGUAAAGGGUUCAAGUAAAAAUUUAGAAUUUUGAUUGUCAUUGUUUAAGUUAAAAUAAAUAUUCAGGUUACUAGUCUCACUUAAAUUACUAUUAUCUGUUAUGUUAUCUAAAAAGGUUGGUAUGAAUUCAUCUCUACAUGACUUUUAACACGUUUAAAGAUUUUAAGUAAAUUCCAAAUCUUACUAAUGGGUGUUGUUCUACUGAAAGUAUUAGUUAGAUUAUUCCAACCAAUUUUUUUCUGCUCUGCUAUGGUUCUUUUUUCUGUGCAUCCUUUCUUUUAUAGUUAAUAUAAUUCUCUAUGGAUGGUACAUUUCUAUAUAAUUUUAAAGCAUUAUAAGAUGCAAUGACACUUUGUUCACAAAUAUCAUUCCACCAGGGUGUGGGCAAUCUACUUUUGAAACUGUUUGAUUUUGAAAGUUUAGGUAUUGUCAUAGUUAUUAAUGUAUCCAAACAAGAGCAGAAAGCACUAUAAGUUAAUAUAGGGUCAUCAAAAUUUAUGAUAAAAUUAUUGAAAACUGUUCUGGAAAGAGUGUUGUAUUAAGUCCAAUCUGCCUUUUUAUAUAAAAAUCUGUCUACUGGUGAACCAAUGUGAUAUUUAUCAAUAGUUAAGGAUAUUUCUGUUAUUGUAGGGUAAUGAUAACUACCCAUGGCAUUGUCAUGUACAGACCAUUCACACAUAGAUGCAAGACUAGCACUGAUGAAGCUAACAUCAAUAGCAGAAGGAUUUCGUCUGGGUUGGUUGACAGUUGUAAAACUACCAUCAUUCAAAAUGCAUAAAUCUAAGUCAUCAAUAAUAUUAAAUAAGCUGUGGCCUCGACUCUUACUAGAUAAACAACCAAAUGCUAUAUGGUGAGCAUUAAAGUCACCACUUACAAAUAUUGGUUUUGGAAGAUUAUUAAUUAUACUAUGUAAUCUAUUUAAUCUGAUAUGACGACUAGUAGGUGGACAGUAAACACAAAGAACAGUCAAACUACCGCUUACUGUUGAUAGAUUCAGAGCAGCAGUUUGAAUGUCCUCAUAGAAUCUAGUGUUAAUAAUAUUGUACUUGAGGUAUGGUUUAAUUAAUAUUGCCACACCAUUAUGACUAUUCUUUGAAUUUUUAUUAUAAAUAUUGUAACCUGGUAUUUUAAAUGUGUUAUCUUUGAACCACGUUUCGUUAAGUAGGCAUAUAUCAAUGUUUUGUUGUUUCAAGAAUUGAAUGAGCAGGGGUUUUUUACUAUUGGCACUUUGAAUGUUGUAUAGCUUAGACUGUGUAGGACCUAGAUCCAUUAUUUUAGAUUUUUAAUUAAGAUAUCCCUAAUUAUUUUCACUGUAGUAGGUGAAUUAUCACCCUUAUUGCCUAGCUCCACCAAUGUCUGAACAAGGGCCAUAAGUACAUCAUUGUUAGAGACAAUUUCAUUUUUAAUGUCUUGUUGUUUAUUUACAUUAUCUAUAUGAUUAUUUACAGAAUUAUAUACAGGCUUAUUUACAGAUUUAUAUACAGAUUUAUUUACAUUAUUAUAUACAGGUGUUUUUGAUGUUGGUAGUGGUGGAAAGUCAUUGUCAUUUAUUUGUUUAGUUAAGGUAGCACUUGCAUAAGUAAUUUUAGUCUUUUUUUCCAUAAUUUUCUUCAUUUUAAUUGGACAUAUUUUUGAAAUAGCUAGAUGAGGUCCGCUGCAAUUAACACAACAGAUUUCAGUUGGCUUGUCGCAUUCCUUAUAUAAGUGCUCACCUCCACAAACUGAACAUUUUUGUUUACCGUUACAGAUUUUUGCUGAAUGGUUAAACUUGAAACAUUUGAAACAUUGCCGUAACGGUGGUAUAUAAUCAAAAACUCUAUAAGAGAAUAAAUCAUAUUAAAUAUUGUCUGGUAGAAUAUUGGAUAGAAAUGUGAUGCUUACAGUUUGUAAAGGAACAUAUUCAUGACCAACUUUUUUUGUGAAUCUUCUGAUUGCAAUAAUUUCAUAAAUUGACGUUAGCCUACUGUACAACUCUUUAUUUGAAAUGUUAGUGGGAACGAAUCUUAUGAUUCCUGUCUUUUCUAUCUGCGUAGCAGGAAUGGAAGCUUUCAUGUCGUAUUUUUUUAAGAAUGAUGCAUUGUUGAUAAAGUUAUUUGCCGUAUUAUAUUGUUUAAAUAUAACUGCAAUUUUACUGGCAUUCACUCUUUGAAUUGCCGUCACACCUUUAAUUUCAGUUGAAAAAAUGUGAUUUAAGUAUAUGGGGCUCUUGUUGCCCAGUCUAUCCUUAUUGGUAGAUUCAACAAAUACUUUAAAGUCAGUAUUAACUGAGUUUUCGGGAUAAAGUCUUUUAUAAUUAGGUUUGAAAAACGGUAAAUAGGAGUCUUUUCGCUCACCGCCACCGCCAACUCUAUUGUCCUCCUUGAAGUCACCACCACGAUCCUCCACGCGAGGACGUUUAUUUGAGGUGGGCGGGUUAUCCCCGCCCCCCUCGUUACCCUCCAUUUCCAACAGACACCACCUCUAAAUUCUGAUAUUUACACUAAAUUUUAAACUAAAAUAACUAAAAUUUAAAAUAAAAUUAAUAAAAACUUAAAAUGUACGCGCGCUCUUUUUGGAGUUCCCGCCCAAAAAAAAACUUAAUCCCGAUCUAUGUCGCCUUCUCUCUUUAUGACUGCUGUUUCCGCAGAUGUAAGCCCUAUGUUUCUCUUGAUGAUGUAAUCUACAUAUUAGUGUCAAUUUUAAUUUGAUGAUUUUACAUACAAGUUACCAUAUUUUCUCUGUACAAAUUCCCGAACGGUGAAGAUGUACUCAGGUGUUAGAGAGGCUGGGGACAACGAAUCGCCGUAAGAGUGGAGGUUGCUGUAGCUCUCUGAAUUUGUAUUGCAAUUAUUAGAGAUCAGUAAGUCUGCUCCGGCGCCAAAUAUUGGUCCGCAUCUGUCGACAGUACAUGAAAUACUUGUACGAGUAAUAAGACAGGUGAUAUUCCAUCACAAUGUGAAUGAAAAGCUUGCGCAGAAAAGCCAUGUGUUGAAGCCCUGAAGACCAGCCUCCAACACUGCUUUGGUGUUCCACACCUGUAAUAAAUUUAUAAGUCAUAGGAUGACAGAUCCGGCAAACAUAUUUACAGCAAGCCUGAAAAUUCAAAAUAAUAGGUUUAUAGAGAAGAGAAGAAGAGAUUUGCAAGUUGUGAAUCAUUGAAAUAAAGUGAAUCAGCUAUAAAUUCAAACAUGCCUAACCAAUAAGCAGGAGCCGUAUGUGGUGCAUUAGUGGUGCAAGAUGGUGACACACUCUUGCUCGUUCUUCUUCUGUCCAGUGUGCAGUUGGUUGUGUCACUCCAGCACGUUGUUUGGCCCAAGCUAGACCACAACGCCAAACUUCUUCUUCCUCUAAACACAACUGACACAGAAUUUAAUGUACACAUCAUAAUUUCUUAAGGAAAUAUUGUUGUAGGACAUUAUCUGUACGAGAACCCUAAUCUACAAAAGCAGUUUGAAGAAAGUUGAUUAGAACAAGUUUCUACUUUAUUUUAUUAUUAUAUUUAUAAGGUCAAGGUAAAUACAAAAUUGUCAACUUUUUAUCCUAUUACAACAGAUGUGAGGUAGUGACAUAGGCAUAUAUUUGCUAGUCUUUGUAGAAAUCAUAAUAUAUUACUUACAAAAUCCGAGGAGAUGAGUUUUACAAGUGCUUCUUUAGGCAGAUUGAGAAAUGCAUUUGUCUUGACACACUCCGCUGCAUUAUCACCAAUAAAUGCUAUGCACCUCUCCAUAAAUGAUGAUGCACUCUUACCACCUUGCCCAAAAUAAUUCAAUCUUAAUAUCAAAUCAAUUUAUCGGAGCUAUUAUGUAAAGUAGCACAGUAAAUCUUAAUGUAAUAAUUUGUUUUGGUGAUUAAAACUGGGAUUUGA